UUUUAUGAGAGUUUGAUCCUGGCUCAGGACGAACGCUGGCGGCGUGCCUAAUACAUGCAAGUCGAACGCUUCUUUUUCCACCGGAGCUUGCUCCACCGGAAAAAGAGGAGUGGCGAACGGGUGAGUAACACGUGGGUAACCUGCCCAUCAGAAGGGGAUAACACUUGGAAACAGGUGCUAAUACCGUAUAACAAUCGAAACCGCAUGGUUUUGAUUUGAAAGGCGCUUUCGGGUGUCGCGGAUGGAUGGGCCCGCGGUGCAUUAGCUAGUUGGUGAGGUAACGGC
rnacentral:rRNA from 1 species